CCCCCCCAAAAAAACGACAACAAAAAAAACCCAUACGCCUUACUAGGAUAUCACAUGACCACAGUGGUGCCUUUUAAAAGUAAAAGCUCAAAAGCAGAAGUUUAAAGCAAUACAGCCAACUAGAAGCAUCAACUUCUAAUAAUCUCACAUUUACCUCCAUCUUAUUAAUGGCAUUCAUGGAGAAAGAUGAAGAUAAAGAGGAGAUGAACAUCUAUGCUAAUGUACAUUCUGUAAACAUUCAUGAUGUCAGGACAGAAACAGAGAACACCAGGAAACACCAAACACCUCAACACACAGGAAGUGAUUGUGUGAAGAUCAGAAGCUCCAGAGCAGCUGUAGUGUGUUUGGUUCUGCUGUGUGUUCUUCUGCUGACUGCAGUCAUAGUGCUGUGUGUCUACAUCCAUACAAACAACACAAACUACACACAAGAGACACACCAGCUACUAACCAACAUCACCAACCUCACAGAAGAAAGAGAUGAGCUAAUAAUAAAGAAUGGAAAUCUAUCAAAUGAGAGAAACCAGCUAAUAAAUCAACUUUCAAUUCUUGGUAAAGACGAACUGGGUUGACAGCAGACGAGACUGUUUGCAGAGAGGAGCAGAUCUGAUCAUCAUAAACAACAAAGAGGAACAAGUGAGUGAAAGAUUGUGUUUGAGUCAGUGCUGAAUACUGCUUAUGGUCUAAAUGUAUAAUAUUUCAUUCUAGGAAUUUAUUACAAACGUUACUAGUGGAAACAUUGUGUGGAUUGGUCUGACUGACAGUGAUAAUGAGGGGGUCUGGAAGUGGGUUGACGGCAGCGCACUGACCACUGGGAUCUGGAGUUACUGGGGGUCCAAU